AACGCAUAUUGCGCCCUCUGGUAUUCCGGGGGGCAUGCCUGUCCGAGCGUCAUUGCAACCCUCAAGCGCGGCUUGGGUGUUGGGCUUUCGUCCCCCUUGGACGUGCCCGAAAGGCAGUGGCGGUACCGCGAUCCGGUGCCUGAGCGUAUGGGGCUUUGUCACCCGCUCCUGAGGCCCGGCCGGCACUGGCCGAUCGAGUUAUAUCUUUCAGGUUGACCUCGGAUCAGGUAGGGAUACCCGCUGAACUUAA
rnacentral:misc_RNA from 1 species